AACCGUCCAAGCAAUGUCCAAUGUGAGAGCGUGGAAUUCCAUGGACCAAAGCAAAUUAGCAAGGUCAGUGUCACUGUGGACUGUUCCCAAAUCUAGUGUUACCGCUAAUUCUGGUUGCAUCGAUUUCAUAGGCCAAUAGUGGUCAUCAUAUGAACGGAUGGGUAAUAUAAUUAUUCUAAAUAAAUGUAUAAUGAAUGCUUGUGGUACUAGAAUUAUGUUGUAAAAUUUUAUGUGGUUGGAUUCUAGUACUAGAAAUGUAUAAUAAUUGUUCUAAAGAAAUGCUAGAGGAUAAAGAAGUAAGUUAUUAAAGUUUUGGACUGUCUUCUUUCAUUUUCAUCUCACUUAUCCUAUUUCUUUCAGGAAUCAUAAAAGCAUAUGGAGGGACUAUGUAUAGACUACAAAGAAGCAAAAGAAACAUUUUAUGCUAGUUUAGACAUAAUGCAUCAUUCUCUAAUAGAUGCUUAGGCUUACCUUUUAGCAUAAUGUACACUAAACAAGUGCCUUUAUGAUGAUCGUGACUUCUGCAUUUUUAAAUGAAUUUUACGACACUUUUUGUUGUGUUGUACGCUACAAUUAUCUCAAAUCACUUCUUCUUGUGUUU
rnacentral:lncRNA from 1 species